rnacentral:rRNA from 1 species
GUGCCAGCAGCCGCGGUAAUACGGAGGGUCCGAGCGUUAAUCGGAAUUACUGGGCGUAAAGCGUGCGCAGGCGGUUUGUUAAGCAAGAUGUGAAAGCCCCGGGCUCAACCUGGGAAUUGCAUUUUGAACUGGCAAACUAGAGUCUUGUAGAGGGGGGUAGAAUUCCAGGUGUAGCGGUGAAAUGCGUAGAGAUCUGGAGGAAUACCGGUGGCGAAGGCGGCCCCCUGGACAAAGACUGACGCUCAGGCACGAAAGCGUGGGGAGCAAACAGGAUUAGAUACCCUGGUAGUCC